rnacentral:rRNA from 1 species
CACGUAGGGUGCGAGCGUUGUCCGGAAUUAUUGGGCGUAAAGGGCUCGUAGGCGGUUUGUCGCGUCGGGGAGUGAAAACCUACAGCUUAACUGUGGGCUUGCUUUCGAUACGGGCAGACUAGAGGUAUGCAGGGGGAGAACGGAAUUCCUGGUGUAGCGGUGAAAUGCGCAGAUAUCAGGAGGAACACCGGUGGCGAAGGCGGUUCUCUGGGCAUGAUCUGACGCUGAGGAGCGAAAGUGUGGGGAGCGAACAGG